rnacentral:rRNA from 1 species
AGACGGACCCUAGAAAGGUCCCGUAAGCACAAAGGCUUGGUCCUGACUUUACUGUCAGCUCUGACCAAAUUUGCACAUGCAAGUAUCCGCACCCCCGUGAGAAUGCCCCACAGUUCCCCGCCCGGGAACAAGGAGCCGGUAUCAGGCACAGUUCUUCUGGCCCAUGACACCUUGCUUAGCCACACCCCCAAGGGAGUUCAGCAGUGAUAAACAUUAAGCCAUAAGUGAAAACUUGACUUAGUUAGAGCCAAGAGGGCCGGUAAACCUCGUGCCAGCCACCGCGGUUAUACGAGAGGCUCAAGUUGACAGACAACGGCGUAAAGAGUGGUUAAGGCAGCUCCUAAAACUAAAGUCGAACGCCCUCAGAACUGUUAUACGUUUCCGAAGAUAAGAAGCCCCAUCACGAAAGUAACUUUAUUAAUCCUGACCCCACGAAAGCUGUGACACAAACUGGGAUUAGAUACCCCACUAUGCUCAGCCAUAAACUUUGAUAGACCAUUACACCCCCUAUCCGCCCGGGAACUACAAGCAUUAGCUUAAAACCCAAAGGACUUGGCGGUGCUUUAGACCCACCUAGAGGAGCCUGUUCUAGAACCGAUAAUCCCCGUUAAACCUCACCCUCCUUUGUUCCUUCCCGCCUAUAUACCGCCGUCGUCAGCUUACCCUGUGAAGGUUAAAUAGUAAGCGAAAUUGGUAAAGCCCAAAACGCCAGGUCGAGGUGUAGCGGAUGAGAGGGGAAGAAAUGGGCUACAUUUCCUAAUCCAGGAAACACGGAUAAUGCACUGAAACGUAUAUUUGAAGGAGGAUUUAGCAGUAAGUAGAAAACAGAGUGUUUUACUGAAACUGGCCCUGAAGCGCGCACACACCGCCCGUCACUCUCCCCGAGCAAAUACUAAGACUCAUACCUAAAAAUUUACACCUAUAAAGGGGAGGCAAGUCGCUAACAUGGUAAGUGUAC